GUUAUUCUCUUGGUACGCUCAAAAAAAGAAUCAUGUUACAAAAAUUUAUUUGUACUGUUUUUACGAUUUUCGUUCUAAUAACGAUGCUACAGGCCAGUCCGGUGGAUCAAAAUACUGAACCAGAUAGCGGCCUAAUGAACAGCUUCUUAUCCUGCAUAUCUGCAUUAUUGUCUAGUGAAAUGUCAACAUUAAACGAUUAUGUCAAUAUUAUAUUAGAAAUUUUGCAAUUGGGACAUUUACCAUGUACGAUAUAUUCCAUCGACCCGUCUCAAAUCAAUUGUACUAAAGACUAAAUAAUAUUACUGGUCACUCGAGCAAAAUUUAUUUAUUUUUUUCUUUCAUGUAUAUUAAAUACUUGUUGUAAAUCAUUUACCAAUUUUAAAUAAUAAUAUAAUUGUUAUUAUAUGACAUACAAUUUAUUAUAAUAAACUUUCUACAAUGCAUA